UACGGAGGAUGCGAGCGUUAUCCGGAUUUAUUGGGUUUAAAGGGUGCGUAGGCGGACUGUCAAGUCAGCGGUAAAAUUGAGAGGCUCAACCUCUUCCCGCCGUUGAAACUGGUGGUCUUGAGUGGAUGAGAAGUACGCGGAAUGCGUGGUGUAGCGGUGAAAUGCAUAGAUACCACGCAGAACUCCGAUUGCGAAGGCAGCGUACCGGCAUCCAACUGACGCUGAGGCACGAAAGCGUGGGGAUCAGACAGG
rnacentral:rRNA from 1 species